GUUGCCAUGCAGAAUGUCUGUUGGUCAGUUGGGCACAUCUGCACACAUUUACAAUAUCUGCCACCUCUUUUAACCCUCAACCCCGCCCCACAAAAUGAGUGAUGGUGCUUGUUGAUUUGCAGAUUCACAGUCUGGUGAGACAAGUUUGAGAUCUCAUAUUUUCAGCUCAUCCUUGAAAACCUUUCUUCGAUUUGACUGACCUUGAUGGCUCCCUGGAAUCUCACCUACAUUUUAUGGGAAAUUCAACUCUCCAGAGAGAAGAGCUUUCAGAUAGCUGCGGGACUUGCAACUGUGACUUUCAGCUUUCGCUUUUGAAUGAGGCUCCAAAUGUCUCAAUGGUGGCACUAUUUCCAGAUUUGGGAGCCCUGCAAAGCUAAUCUGCUCAACCUUCACCUACUGGGUUCAAUGAAUAUGAAAAGCUGCCUUCCUGAAACUUUUCCUUCAAAGAGGGAAUGAUCUCCUGGAAUUCAAGCUUCUACAAGGUGGCUACCUGGUGUUUUCCACUUUUGCCGUCUCCUAAAAAGCAUCAUUCAAGCCUUGCCCUUUCAACCCACUGAACACAUAAACAUGCUUUCUCCUUAACUGAACUUAUGGCCACGAUGAACUUGAACUCUGAGAUUCACAGAGGAGAGUUUGUUUUAACAGCUGCUUUUACAAUGAAGCCCUGGAGUUACUACUCUCAAGACCCCUGGUUCUGAUAGGCCAUCUUUUCACUGUCCUCUGCAUUUUCUAAUGCCCAGCUGUCAAGGAACACCCACUGAAGUUUUCCAAAACAAAGGCACGAAACACAAGAAAGAGAACUGUGUGCAGGCCCAAGGAGAACAACU
ensembl:lncRNA ADAMTS9-AS1 ADAMTS9 antisense RNA 1